rnacentral:rRNA from 1 species
CCUACGGGGUGCAGCAGUGAGGAAUAUUGGUCAAUGGACGAGAGUCUGAACCAGCCAAGUAGCGUGAAGGAUGACUGCCCUAUGGGUUGUCACCUUCUUUUAUAUUGGAAUAAAAUGUCCCACGUUUGGGAUUUUGUAUGUAACAUAUGAAUAAGGAUCGGCUAACUCCGUUCCCGCAGCCGCGGUAAUACGGAGGAUCCCAGCGUUAUACGGAUUUCUUGGGUUUAAAGGGUGCGUAGGUGGAUUGUUAAGUCAGUUGUGAAAGUUUGCGGCUCAACCGUAAAAUUGCAGUUGAAACUGGCAGUCUUGAGUACAGUAGAGGUGGGCGGAAUUCGUGGUGUAGCGGUGAAAUGAUUAGAUAUCACGAAGAACUCCGAUUGCGAAGGCAGCUCACUGGACUGCAACUGACACUGAGGCUCGAAAGUGUGGGUAUCAAACAGGAUUAGAUACCCGGGUAGUC